UGAAACCCAAACCAAACAAGCCUGAGAUCAUAAAGCAUCAGCCUGCUCACAACAUUCCACCAAAACACACGGAGUCACCCUCUUUCCUGCCAACCGUGCUCCCGCCACACCAGGCUUUGUCUGACCUGCCUGCAUGGCUCCACCCCGAGACUGCACACAGCUCUCUCCCCCAGCUUGCGCAUCGGACACACACGCCUCCUGGACCAAGCAGUGUCAAGUCACUCUCCAUCGUGCGGCUCUGCUCCGUUGUCUGCUACACGUAUACUUACCUGAAGAUUCUUUUUCCAUACCCUCCUUGUAUGUGUACAAGACUUCAUCAACUUCCUUCAGAUCCAGGAAGCCUGAGCCGUCAUUGUCCCACUUCUGAAACACAGCUUCUAGGAGAAGUUCCCGUCGGGCUCUGGAAGCAUUUUGUCUAGCCUAGAAUAGAAACAGGGUAACAGCAGUGUCCACAACUAUGGAAAGAACCUAGAUGUCCAUCAAUAGAUGAAUGGAUAAAGAAGAUGUGGUAUAUAUAUACAAUGUAAAAACUAUGCAACCAUCAAAAACCCUAAAUCUUGCCAUUUGCAAUGACAUGGAUGGAACUAGAAGGUAUUAUGCUGGAUGAAAUCAAUCAGAGAAAGACAAUUAUCAUAUGAUCUCUCUGAUAUGAGGAAUUUGAGAGGCAGGGUGGGGGGUCGUGGGAGGUAGGGAGGGAAAAAGUGAAACAAGAUGGGAUAGGGAGGGAGACAAACCAUAAGAGACUCUUAAUCUCACAGAACAAAUAGGGUUGCUGGGUGGGGUGCUAGGGAUAGGAUGCCUGGGUUGUGGACAUUGGGGAGGGUAUGUGCUGUAAUGACUGCUGUGAAAUGUGUAAGCCUGAUGAUUCACAGACCUGUACCCCUGGGGCAAAUAAUACAUUGUAUGUCAAUUAAAAAAAAAAAAAAAGAAACAGGUUAACAAAACACAGGACACACUAUCCAUUGUGCAAGCCGCCAUCCCAUGGUUUAUUCCCUCAAAACUAUUUCUAAAAACAGCUUUAUAAAAAAAAGCUGGGACUAAGCAUGAUAGUAAUGCUUCAAUUGAAGCAUUUAAUUUUUUUUUUUAGAAGAUUUUAUUUAUUUGAGAGAGGAGAGAACGUGAGGAGGGUUGAGAGAGAGAGAGAGAGAGAGCAGGAGGAGGAGCAGAGGGAGAGGAAGAAGCAGACUCCCCCAUCCAACAGGGAUCCUGAUCCCUGAUCAAGCAGGGCUCGAUCCCAGGAGCCUGAAAUCAUAACCUGAGCCAAAGGCAAAUGUAAAGCAUUUAAUUUGAAUCCUCUAAAUACCGUUUCUCUGUUUCAUUCCUAGAACAAAAACACAAAACACAAUAAAACAAAAACCAGGCAUUCUCUGCAUUGGACUAAAGCACAUUAACUUAGGAAAGGGGCUACACUCCUUAAGAAACUUUGAUUCAUUCCUCUCCACUCCCUUGAUGGUCAUUCAGGAAUGUGAUAAACAUACGGCAUGCUCUACCUGGCUUCUUGGUGGGAUAUGCAGGGUGAAGGCAGUGUUCAAACAAUGAAAAAUGACUAUGUUCAAAAAUUAUUUUUUAUAAUUUAUUAUUUAUAAUUUAGCAUUGAUCUAACUUGACAUUGAUUUUACUUACCUUUCAGAUUUUUUACCAGAUUAAUUAUAUCAGUCAGAUAGUAACUAAAUUAUUAUCCAGAUAGAUUUAAUUGCUAAAAGAAAGUUAAUAUACAGCAUUUGGUUAAAUGAGGGAAUUGCAACUGAGGAGGCAAUAGGGAUAUAAACUCUAGAAUUAGGUUGAGAAGACCCAUAAGGCUGCUGAGAUGAGUGAAUGUGCCUGGUGAAUGUAAGCUACAUAUUUCAUAAAAGGGCACAUAAGUUGUUUAUCUCAGCUAAUAUGUAUGCACCUAUCUAUCACUCAACUAGGUAGUAAAUUCUUAGGAAAUAUGGAUCACCUGGAUUCACAUGAAUAAAAAAUACACGUACAAAUCAUAAUUGUACUCCCAGGUAUGUGCAUUAGUAAAUGAAUUCACACAGCAGUGUGCAUGCCAAUGCAUUUUUUGCACAUACACAUAUCUGCUCCUCAGAAUAUGCUCUUCAAGCUUCAGAGGAGGAAAAAGGAAAUUGUGCAAUAAAAGAUCUCCUGUCACCAGUGAUCAUGUUAUUAUUAGGGGAAUGAAUUCUCUGCAGUGUGAUCUUGGAACAUUUGACCAUAAAAUUAAAUACUUAAUGGCUAUGCUCAUUGAAAUAAAGCAAUUAGCUUGAUCAUAAACUUUUUUUUUUUUAAAGAAACUUUAUUUCUUUUUUAAGUAGACUUCACGCCCCUUGUGGAGCACAAUGCAGGGCUUGAAUGCACGACCCUGAGAUCAAGACCUGAGUUGAAAUCAAGAGUCAGAUGCUCAACCAGCUGAGCCACCAAGGACCUCUUGGUUAUAAAUUUUUAAAGGACCACAUUAGGAGCCACUGAGGUUGAGAGCUUUACUAAUAAUAUGACCCCACCUGUUUUAUUGAUAAAUAAUAUUACUCACCUGUUCUAAGCCACUUAUUUUCUCUUCUUUUGUUUCAACAUAGCCUCUCUUAAAAAAGGAUGUGAGGGUCUCACUUACACUCAAGGGGGUAUCUUCACCAACAAAUGUCUCCAGAAGUUGCACAAACUGGAGCAGAUUUAUGGAAACUCCAUUGAAAGCACUUCUACCUUUUAUGUCCUUGUAAGACUGAAUAUUUCUGAUAAUUGAGUGUAGGUCUAUAAAGCAGGAAACAUACAACAAACAGUAAAGUGGACAAUUUCUUAAAGCUUAGAGGAAAAUACACAGAUACUUAUUGUAAUAAACAUCUGUUACUCUUUUCCUGUCAGAAACCCAUGCUCCCUUCAUUAGGAAAACAUCUUUUCCCCACUGUUAGCUUAUAUUUUUAUUUUCAUUUCACAUGUAUCAAUAGUUUUUAUUGCUGAGUAAUAUUCCAUUUAUAAAUAUAUCACAAUUUUUUAUUUAUUCUCAUACUGAUAGAUAUCUGGAAUGUUUCCAGAAAGUUCAGGCUAUUAUGGAUAUACCUGGUUUACGUAUUCUUACAUAUGUUUUGCUCUUGUCAUUGUAAACAUGCUUUUAACUCUAUUGGAUAAAUAACUGGAGUUGGAAAUUCUGGAUCAUGGGUAAAUAUGUGUUUGGUUUUACAAUAAACACACAGAUAUUUUCUGAAGUAACUGUAACAUUUUAAACUCCCACCAACAAUCCUGAAAACUUCCAGUUUCUCCACAAUCUUGCCAAGAGUCAGUGUUGUCAGUCUUUUUCAUUUUAGCCAUUCGGGUCAUAUGUAGUGGUUUCUCGUCAUAAUGUUAGUCUGUUUUUCAUGACGACUAAUGACAUUGCACACUUCUUCAUGUGUUCAUUGCUCAUUCUUACAUGUUUUAUUUGCAAAGCAUCUAUUGACUUGUUCUACUAAUUUAUACUAUGUUGUUUAUAUUUUUUUGAGUUGUUGAAGAUCUUAAUAUUUCCUGGAUACCAGUCCUUUGUCAGAUACAAAUUUUAAAAUUGUCCACGUAUUUUUUCCAUAUCUGUGGUUUAUAUACAUACUUCUUUAAUGACAUGUUUUAAUAAACAAAAGUUUUAUUUGAUGA